rnacentral:lncRNA from 10 species
UAGAUGUGAUUAGCAUCUACAGUUAGUUGACUUUAAGUAAAGGAGAUUGUCCUUGAUAAUUUUAGUGGCCCUGAUUCAAUCAAUCAGUUGAAAGAUCUUAAAAGCAGAAAACCUGAGGUUUUCUUUUAAGGAGGAAGACAUUUCACCUGUGGACUGCAGCAUCAGCUUCUGCCCAAGAGAUUCCAUAUUUUCCUACAGAUUCUGGACCUCCCAAGACAGCCCCACAAUCACAUAAGCUAAUUCUCUGCAAUGAAUUAAUUUAAAUAUCAGAUCACUGGUGCUGUUUGUUUCUCUGGUGUAACCCUGAGUAUAUGUUACCCUAAAAUAGGCAAUAAAUGAGUUAGAAAUUUGCUAUACCCUCUUCCUUAUGUGCUAGCUGAUAUUGCAUUUCAUUAUGUAUCCUUCUUAGUGUUAUUAAAGUUUAGAGAGUGUGUAAGUGUGUACUGAAAAAAAAACUCAUUUCUGUAAAAUUGUCUUCUAAGUAUACAGACUUUUUAGAGAAGUAAACAGCAGACAGUUAAAAAAAAAUGCUACUUUAUUAGAGCAAAACCAAUUUUAAUCCC